UACGGAGGGUGCGAGCGUUGUCCGGAAUCACUGGGCGUAAAGGGCGCGUAGGCGGCCUGGUAAGUAGGGGGUGAAAUCCUGCGGCUUAACCGCAGGGCUGCCUUCUAAACUGUCAGGCUCGAGCACAGUAGAGGCAGGUGGAAUUCCCGGUGUAGCGGUGGAAUGCGUAGAGAUCCGGAAGAACACCGGUGGCGAAGGCGGCCCGCUGGGCAGUGGCUGACACUGAGGCGCGACAGCGUGGGGAGCAAACAGG
rnacentral:rRNA from 1 species